rnacentral:rRNA from 1 species
UACGGAGGGUGCAAGCGUUAUCCGGAAUCAUUGGGUUUAAAGGGUCCGCAGGCGGAUUUAUAAGUCAGUGGUGAAAGCCUGAUGCUCAACAUCAGAACUGCCAUUGAUACUGUAAGUCUUGAAUUCGAUCGAAGUGGGCGGAAUAUGACAUGUAGCGGUGAAAUGCUUAGAUAUGUCAUAGAACACCGAUAGCGAAGGCAGCUCACUAGGUCUGGAUUGACGCUCAGGGACGAAAGCGUGGGGAGCAAACAGG